rnacentral:snoRNA from 1 species
AGCCAAGGUGAUUCCCUCUCCAAGGGACCACGUAGUGCCCCCCUCAGGAAACUAGUAAUUUGGAAGAAAAUCUGGCAAGCUCAAGGUCUUCCAGAAAGAGGGGAUGUUUUUCCUUUUACCUUCCUUUGGCUGCCUAUGUAU